rnacentral:rRNA from 1 species
GGAGUAGUGAUAUGGUUGUGUGAAAGAUUAAGGGAUGGAUGUGUGAGUAGAAGGGGGAAUAAGGUGAAAGGGGGAAUGGGUGAUUAAAUGAGUUAUGGUUGGUUGGAUGUUAGGGAGAGUUAGAUGGAUAAGUGUGGUAAUUGUAGAGGUAAUAGAUGAAGGUGGUGGGGGGAGGAGUGAUGGAAGGGGGGGUUUUAUUAGAAGAAAAGGAAUGGGUGGGGUGGUGGGUGGGUUGGGUUGGUGAGUGUGAAUAAGUUUGGGGUGAUGGGAGGGUGGGAGGAGGGGGGAGGGAUGUUUGAAAUGUGUGGGUUAUGAAGUUUGGAUGGUAGGUUGUGGGGGUAGGAUGGUUGUAAGGGGUGAGGGGGAAUGAGGGUUGGAUUGGGGAGAGGGAGGGUGAGAAAGGGGUAGGAGAUGGAAGGAAGGGAGGAGGGGGGGAAAUUAGGGAGUGGGGGGAGGGGGAGGUAGUGAGGAAAAAUAAGGAUACGGGAGUGAUGGGAGGGGGGGUAAUGGGAAUGAGAAGAGUUUAAAUGGUUUAAGGAGGAUGUAUUGGAGGGGAAGUGUGGUGGGAGGAGGGGGGGUAAUUGGAGGUGGAAUAGGGUAUAU